rnacentral:rRNA from 1 species
AACGCGAAGAACCUUACCAGGUCUUGACAUCCAAAGAAUCCUGUAGAAAUACGGGAGUGCCUUCGGGAGCUUUGAGACAGGUGGUGCAUGGUUGUCGUCAGCUCGUGUCGUGAGAUGUUGGGUUAAGUCCCGCAACGAGCGCAACCCUUGCCUUUAGUUGCCAGCAUGUGAUGGUGGGCACUCUAGAGGGACCGCCGGUGUGAAACCGGAGGAAGGUGGGGAUGACGUCAAGUCCUCAUGGCCUUUAUGCCCAGGGCUACACACGUACUACAAUGGGCGGUACAAAGGGGAGCGAAGGAGUGAUCCGGAGCCAAUCCCAAAAAGCCGUUCACAGUUCGGAUUGGAGUCUGCAACUCGACUCCAUGAGGGUGGAAUCGCUAGUAAUCGCGGAUCAGCAUGCCGCGGUGAAUACGUUCCCGGGUCUUGUACACACCG